rnacentral:rRNA from 1 species
CCUACGGGUGGCAGCAGUGGGGAAUAUUGGGCAAUGGGCGCAAGCCUGACCCAGCAACGCCGCGUGAAGGAAGAAGGCCCUCGGGUUGUAAACUUCUUUUGUCAGGGACGAAGAACGUGACGGUUCCUGACGAAUAAGCCACGGCUAACUACGUGCCAGCAGCCGCGGUAAUACGUAGGUGGCAAGCGUUAUCCGGAUUUACUGGGUGUAAAGGGAGUGUAGGCGGGAUUGCAAGUCAGAUGUGAAAUUCCAGGGCUCAACCCUGGACCUGCAUUUGAAACUGUAGUUCUUGAGUGAUGGAGAGGCAGGCGGAAUUCCGUGUGUAGCGGUGAAAUGCGUAGAUAUACGGAGGAACACCAGUGGCGAAGGCGGCCUGCUGGACAGUAACUGACGCUGAGGCGCGAAAGCGUGGGGAGCAAACAGGAUUAGAUACCCUAGUAGUC